ACGGGGAUGGCGAGCGUUACUCGGAUUUACUGGGUGUAAAGGACAGGCAGGCGGCUUUGCAAGUUGAAGGUUAAAUCCUCUGACUCAAUCAGAGACAUGCCUUCAAAACUACAUUGCUUGAGGAUUUGAGAGGAGAGCGGAAUUCCCGGUGGAGGGGCGAUAUCUGUAGACACCGGGAGUGAAAAGUGUGGAGGGAGCGGCUCACCGGCAAAAGACUGUCUCUGAUCUGGGAAAGCUAGUUGAGCAAACAG
rnacentral:rRNA from 1 species